rnacentral:rRNA from 1 species
CACGCCGCGUGAGUGAUGAAGGCUUUCGGGUCGUAAAACUCUGUUGUUAGGGAAGAACAAGUACGAGAGUAACUGCUCGUACCUUGACGGUACCUAACCAGAAAGCCACGGCUAACUACGUGCCAGCAGCCGCGGUAAUACGUAGGGUGCCGGCCGCCGCUGUAAUACU